AUGUUAUCAGUAAUAAUUAGGAAAUCCCCAUUGGUAGACCUUUUGUGAAAGAUUGGGAAACCAAGGUAUUUCCCAAAAAAUCGUUAGGGCCAACGUUAAGGAGGCUAGAGCACAUUGCAAAGUUUUCAAUGGAGCAAUUCUUUAUAAAGAUCACCUAAGAUUUUUCAAGAUUAAUUUUUUGGCCAGAGAAGAUGUUGAAGCUAUUCAAUGUAUCAAUGAUGGUAAUGCAG
rnacentral:misc_RNA from 1 species